rnacentral:lncRNA from 1 species
AAAUGAGAAAGAAGUUCAAAGAGAUGAGAUGAUGAUGAUUUAAGAAUUUUUACAUUUAACCUUAUUCUUAUAUAUAAUUUGAAACUUAAAAAGACACCUUGUGGAGGCUCGGAAUAGAGGCUACUUACUAAGUAGUAUAGAAGUAUUUCAAUAUUUUGGAAGUGGAUACAAUCAUCCCAAUAAAUGCCAACUAAACAGAUACUCUACCUUCUGGUGGUAUCGGUCCAGAUAGAGGUGACACAAAGAGGAUAGAGUCUCUGCUGCUGAGGAGCUCAUCGUCUAGAGAGAAGACAGUAAAACCUCUGCCCCCCAAACCUGUAAUGGACUGUGACAAGAGGCAGUUGUGAGGAGGUGAAGACAGUGGAGGAAUAAACACACAGCCAAAUGACAAAGUCAGAGCGUGAAGCCUCCUUGCCCCUGCCCCACCUGUCUUUUCUCUCACGCUCUCUCUUUCCUCUCUGCCGGAGCUGUUCAGGAUAGCCGUGCUUCUCUCAUUCUUAGAAUUCUGCUUUUAUUACUUAGAAAUCUACUAACUUUGUGCUUGUUGGUCUUAACUUACUUUAGAUUACAAAUAUGCCAUUACAUAUUCUACAACAUUUUGGAAAUUCUGUUCUAUGCCAAAAUGAGCAUUGCACUUAAUUUCAAUGCAAAUGUUUCCUUUACUCUGGUCCUUUAUUGUAGUUUGGUAGAAUGAAAAUUCUUAUUCCUUGUUGAUUAUGCACAAUGCUCAAGUUUUUAUGAAAAUAGUUGUCUAAAUUUGUGUUUAAGUUUUAAAUUGAAGUUUGGACAUUUGAAAGAUAUAAUGUUUUGCAGAAUUGUUGCUGCUCUAUUCACAUCUGUUUAUCAUCUCUUUUAUAUCAUUAACUUGAGGAUGUUUUCAGUUGGUGUGAGACUUAAAAAUACUAAAGGCUAUUUAGAAUGAAAACUGUUGAGUCUAAGAAGUUAAAACUCCCCUCAGAUUCUGAAUGUCUGUUCCUAAACUGGUUAAGUGAGUAUAUUUGAAAGGAAAUUGUGUAUAUUUAGGAUAUUUAAUGUAGGUGACACAUAUGGUCUAAUGAAUUUGGCAAUAAAGAAAAGUAGAAAAAUACCAUUUUGUCAGAGAUUAGUGAGAAAAAAAUGCAAAUGAAGUCCUUUAGAUUUGCUAACCUUUUUCUUUUUGGCCAAGAUGACCACACAUUACAAAUAAGAAUGAUUUCUGACCCCAUAUUAAAAGGAGUCAGGUGUGCAGAACUGAUGUGAUGGAAGAAGAUCAAUCACCUUUUGGAAUGGUAAAGGAGCUACCAUUUUAUGCGAGUGCAUACUCAUAGCAGAGUAUGCAUAAUGAUCUAAGGCUCUCAAUUUUUAUUUGAAAGUGAGCAAAGCAGUGUGGAGUCAUAGUAAAUUAAAGCCUCUCUCUUUUUUUUAAUUGUAUCUCCCAUGAUUUUACAUUCCUCUGCCACUUAUGAUGCCUGUCUUGGUUCUGGCUUUUUAAGACUUGGAGCUGGUCUGAGCAUGCAGCCCUUUAUUGCAGCAGACAUUCCAC